CUUUCACAUCCCGUCAGAUGGGUGCCUGAUCAGAAAUAAAGAAAAUUGUAUCAGCUAGUGAAGUUCCUAAAUUGGUCCUAAUUCGCAGAAACGCUUAUGGGCAAGUCCCUUGUCUCAUUUGCCUUUGAUUGUUACCAAAACUUAAAAUACUCAACAGAAUUUUAAUUAAGACUAGAUGAAAAGGAGCACACAUUUAUCCGAGAGAAGAGGAAGGGGAAAAGGACACAAAGAUUCUGGGUUCAUUCAUCUGGGGAGUGUCUAGGUCUCCACCAAGAAGCUAAAGUCUGACUCGGAAGCUGAGAGUGAGGACAGGAAGAAACACCCAGGCAUCUGGAAGAGAAUGCCAGGUACCAUAGGGGUCCCAGUGGAGAUUUCAAAGAUAAUUUUAUAAGCUACCAAGAAAGGGAAGACAUGAAGAGGAAGACAACGAGGGAGAAAGAGAAGAAGAAAAGAGCACUGAUCAGGGUAUUUGGGUUGAAAUAAUAAGAACAGUAGUCAGCCAGCAGCCUUGUGCAAGGUGAAAAUUGGUAGCCACGAGCAAGGCUACAAGGCUGUCAUACAGUGAAAACUGAAGUGGGUCUUUAUGGAUGAGGAGGAAUCCAACAGGAAAAGGAAAAUGUAUUUCAGGCAGGAGGGAUCACACAUGCCAAACGCCAAGGCGGGAUCCCUGGUCUCGGGUGGACGUAUCGUGGUCUACGGAGGGAAAGCCACAAGAAACAGAAGAGCGUCGUCAUGGCCACACUGUGAUGGGCCCACCUUGCCUGAGCAAUGGGACUUUAAUUCAAGUCUUCAGAGAUUUCCGGUGGGAGAAUGGGGGAGACAGUGGCAAUUCACUCCAGUGUUCUUGUCUGAAAAUGCCUUGGACAAAGGGAGCCUGGCGGGCUAUAGCCUGUGGGUUGCAGAGUUGGAAAGACUUAGCGAUUAAACAACAUCAAUGGGGCAAUGGGGCAAA